rnacentral:rRNA from 1 species
AUACGUAGGGGGGCGAGCGUUGUCCGGAAUGAUUGGGCGUAAAGGGCGCGUAGGCGGCGCGGUAAGUCUGGAGUGAAAGUCCUGCUUUCAAGGUGGGAAUUGCUUUGGAUACUGCCGCGCUUGAGUGCAGGAGAGGUUAUCGGAAUUCCCGGUGUAGCGGUGAAAUGCGUAGAGAUCGGGAGGAACACCAGUGGCGAAGGCGGGUAACAGGACUGCAACUGACGCUGAGGCGCGAAAGUAUGGGGAGCAAACAGGAUUAGAUACCCUGGUAGUCCACACUGUAAACGAUGAAUGCUAGGUGUAAGAGGUAUCGACCCCUUUUGUGCCGGUGUCAACACAAUAAGCAUUCCACCUGGGGAGUACGGCCGCAAGGUUGAAACUCAAAUGAAUUGACGGGG